CACGUAGGGGCCAAGCGUUGUCCGGAUUUAUUGGGCGUAAAGAGCUCGUAGGCGGUUCAGCAAGUCGGGUGUGAAAACUCUGGGCUCAACCCAGAGACGCCACCCGAUACUGCUGUGACUAGAGUCCGGUAGGGGAGUGGGGAAUUCCUGGUGUAGCGGUGAAAUGCACAGAUAUCAGGAGGAACACCGGUGGCGAAGGCAGCUCGCUGGAACGGUACUGACGCUGAGGCGCGAAAGCUAGGGGAGCGAACGGG
rnacentral:rRNA from 1 species